GGCGGCGGGGCCCCGCUGCAGCAGGCGGCUUUGUCAACCAGGAACCCACCAGGCCCAGAGAACAACAACAUUGACCAGCAGUGCCCAGAAAGCAGCAAGAAGCCAUUGGGGCAGUCCACAAUAUUGUAUGAUUGCUCGGAGGAGGAGCUCAUGGCCAGCAUCGAGCGGGAGUACUGCCGCUGAGCCCAGCUCCUCACCAUGAGAAUGUCAGGCACGAGCCUGGGAGCCCCGCUGAGCAGAGCUGCUGCUGACACCACGGGACUGCACGGGAGAGGUGGCUGCUGGAGGGGAUGGACUGGAGCAUGAGGGGCAGCGUGGCUGCUCGGGAAGCACAGAGGAGAAAGCUCACCUGAUCCACUCCCAGUGAGAGCAGGAAGAUCCUCACCAGCUGCUGAUUUCUGGUUGGUGCCACCGGAAGAGGGACCAAUUCAUCUUAAGAAUCAAUAUUUAGAAGCUCAUUUCUAAAUGCUAUUUUUAAAUGAACAUGUACUAGAAUUAAGUGUCAUACUAGAGGGGUUGAAAUGUGGUGCUUUGAAGGAUGAUCUUGCUUUGAACCUAGUAAAAAAUUGCAGCAAUAUCAUCUCAUCCAGAACUUAAGGGGAUGUUGAAUGAAAUUCAUCUUUCUGCCACUUAGAAUGUCCCAAAUUGCACUUGUGCAAGCCUCAGGUCCAGGUCUGAGUUUGGUACCAUCUCUUUCAAUCUGCUCCCCAGUAUGGGAGAUAAGAGGAAAAGGGGAUUGAGCCCACUGUCUGGUGCAUAGGCAGUGUAAUCCCAGAGUUCAAAUCCCACCACACUGCCAAAUUAGGCUCCUGGGAGCCAUCAGGGAACACAGGAUUUUUAUGAUCCCUUUGGGGCAGGGUCCCAGCAUAGGUGUCCUACCUGGGCAUGGAUCCAUCCCAGUGAUGGGAGUGAAAGCAGGAGGCACAUCCCCAUUUCAGUCAUCCUCCUCAACAGGUAUUUGCCUGCUCAUGUAGAGCAGCUGUUUGGGAUCAGUUUUCAGAAUUGCUACUCCUGGCCCUUCCCUAAUAUUUCUUGUCCUACAAGAAAAAUCACUGCAUUUUACCAUUAGCUGACUGCAAAGUAAACCAGAAAUUUCUCUCUCCUAAGGAAAUAGUAUUUUCAGUGCUCCUAGACAGGGAAGCCUGGUAUUUUGGGUUUCUGCUUUUAUUAUAUCUGCGUGUUAACAUAUUAUGAGUAUCUGCUUAUUAUCAGAAGUAGAAAAAUACUUUAUUUCUAUCUUCUGCUGAAGCAUAAAAGGCAUCAGAUUACAUUUUUACUACAUGUAAAUGCAAGAAAGAACUGCAGGACACUUCUUAAGAUGCUGUAUUUUAAGUACUUUGUGAUUCCUGGGACCUGUGAAACACAAAUAAAUCCAUCUAUACUCUGAA